CACGUAGGGCGCAAGCGUUGUCCGGAAUUAUUGGGCGUAAAGAGCUCGUAGGCGGACUGUUGCGUCCGCUGUGAAAAGCUGGGGCUUAACCCUGGCCUUGCAGUGGAUACGGGCAGACUAGAGGUAGGUAGGGGAGAAUGGAAUUCCCGGUGUAGCGGUGAAAUGCGCAGAUAUCGGGAGGAACACCGGUGGCGAAGGCGGCUACCUGGACCAGCACUGACACUGAAGCACGAAAGCGUGGGGAGCAAACAGG
rnacentral:rRNA from 1 species